rnacentral:rRNA from 1 species
UACAGAGGGGGCAAGCGUUGUUCGGAAUUACUGGGCGUAAAGGGCGCGUAGGCGGCCUUCUAAGUCGAACGUGAAAUCCCCGGGCUCAACCCGGGAACUGCGUCCGAUACUGGUUGGCUUGAAUCCGGGAGAGGGACGUGGAAUUCCAGGUGUAGCGGUGAAAUGCGUAGAUAUCUGGAGGAACACCGGUGGCGAAGGCGACGUCCUGGACCGGCAUUGACGCUGAGGCGCGAAAGCCAGGGGAGCAAACGGG